GGUUACCUAAGAGAGGUUUAAAUUAUAAAACCGACUAUUUGUGAUUAUUGGGAAUCUAAUUGACUUGUGGUGUUGAAGACCUUGUCAUUGACGUAGGGAUCCUAAAACAGGUCAUGUGAUGCCCACCUCGUGCGAGCGGGCUUUUAUCACGCCGACUUCUCUUAGGCUUUUU
rnacentral:other from 1 species